GUGCCAGCAGCAGCGGUAAUACAGAGGCCUCAAGCGUUGUUCGGAUUCAUUGGGCGUAAAGGGUGCGUAGGUGGCUUGUUAAGUUGAAGGUGAAAUCUCGGAGCUCAACUCCGAAACUGCCUUCAAUACUGGCGAGCUCGAGGACUGUAGAGGAGAAUGGAAUUCACGGUGUAGCAGUGAAAUGCGUAGAUAUCGUGAGGAAGACCAGUGGCGAAGGCGAUUCUCUGGGCAGUUCCUGACACUGAGGCACGAAGGCCAGGGAGCAAACGGGAUUAGAUACCCGGUAGUCCUGGCAGUAAACGGUGCACGUUGGUGUGGAGGAUUCGACCCUUCCGUGCCGGA
rnacentral:rRNA from 1 species